rnacentral:tRNA from 1 species
CAUUAGGUGACUGAACG